GGUGAACCUGCGGAGGGAUCAUUACCGAGUUUACAACUCCCAAACCCAAUGUGAACCAUACCAAACUGUUGCCUCGGCGGGGUCACGCCCCGGGUGCGUCGCAGCCCCGGAACCAGGCGCCCGCCGGAGGGACCAACCAAACUCUUUACUGUAGUCCCCUCGCGGACGUUAUUUCUUACAGCUCUGAGCAAAAAAUUCAAAAUGAAUCAAAACUUUCAACAACGGAUCUCUUGGUUCUGGCAUCGAUGAAGAACGCAGCGAAAUGCGAUAAGUAAUGUGAAUUGCAGAAUUCAGUGAAUCAUCGAAUCUUUGAACGCACAUUGCGCCCGCCAGUAUUCUGGCGGGCAUGCCUGUCCGAGCGUCAUUUCAACCCUCGAACCCCUCCGGGGGGUCGGCGUUGGGGAUCGGGAACCCCUCAGACGGGAUCCCGGCCCCGAAAUACAGUGGCGGUCUCGCCGCAGCCUCUCCUGCGCAGUAGUUUGCACAACUCGCACCGGGAGCGCGGCGCGUCCACGUCCGUAAAACACCCAACUUUCUGAAAUGUUGACCUCGGAUCAGGUAGGAAUACCCGCUGAACUUAAGCAUAUC
rnacentral:rRNA from 1 species